ACUCGUUCAGCUUCGGAAAGGCUCCAUGACGCGUGGGACCGGCCAUGUGCGGGCCCCGACGGCUAGAGGCAGACACGCCCGCUCGUUCAGUCGGCUUGUUUUUCCUCUCCACAGAGCACGGGUGAAACCCUAGAUCGCUCCUCCAAUCCCUAGUCCUCAUUUCCUCCCAAUCCCCGUUUCUCCUCUCUCCUCCUCUCCAAUGGUGGCGCCGCCUCUCCCCGGCAUGGCGACGGACGGGGAGACCGCACGCAGGCGGGCUUCCGUGCGGCGGCGCCAGCGGCUGCGCCAGCGGCUGCGCACUGCACCCUUGGCCGCCGCGACCUGCUCCCCCGACGCCGGCGGCCUCCCCACGCAUCCUCCUGCUGGAGGCGAGCUGCAGGAGAGCAGACGGGGCCGGACGGGACGGCUGCCGUGGUAGAUGAGAGGAGGCAUCGCAGGAGCAGGUUCCGGAGGAGGGCCCCGGCGGCGCCGGUGGCUUCCUUUCAUCUCCCCGCGGCGGUUGGUGGUGCAGAGAAAGGCAACGAGCCGCGGGAGCUCACCACGCGCGUGCAGCUCGUCCACCAGCGGCAGCGGCGACACGCACGACGCCCAUGCCCCUCCUUCUCAGCGCCUUCUCGUCUCCGUCAGGAAAGUUAGAUGACAGACAGCAGCAAUGCCUCCAAUAGAGGCCUCAAUCAGGUCACAUGUAGGUGUCUAUUCUUUAUUGAUGUGCAGCCACGACUUGGAAUGUUGUAUUUGGGUGGCGGAAGAUUCCUACGACAGCAGUGACAACAACCAGCACUGGUGCAUUAUAAUUCAGUGGUUGAUCCUAGUGGUUGAUCCUAGAGAAUGGAGGAGGAGGGGUGUGAGUGGUAUAGAGCAGAACUUUUGCUCCACUCCGGUCUGAUCGUCUACGCCGGCCGGAGGACGGCCAGGAAGUGCCCGCCUGCUUCCUAGAAUCCGCGGGGAAGCUGGAGCUUACGGUUCACUUUUGCUACAGACCUAGAUGUGGGAGGGGACAAGGUUGGUAGACGAUGGUGCCAUGAAAUUGGAAACUUUUUCUCCGCUGUCCCGGUUGUGCUUCAUGUAGAACAAAGGAUUAGUGCUUUUGGUGGUCAAAUUUGGCAAGAACACGAAGAAGGCUAAGUUGGUGAUGGCCCCUUAGGAGAGUGGCACUGGUAACGGGAAGCUUCUAUGACGUCGAAGAGGGUGCUGAGCAACCCACAGGUCUUGAUUUCAGAGCGCGAUGGAGGCUUGUCGGACGGCCGGCAUGCCUAGGAGAUGCGGGUCAAGCGGCACCACGGGGCUGAGGUUCGGCUUCUCCCUCCUCUCUUUCUCUGUCUCUUCCUCUUUGUCUAUCUCUCUCUCAUCUCUCUUUCUCGUUUCUCUCUUCUUUUCUGGUGGAUGAGGGCACAACUACAGGGAACGGCGGCCAGAUGCUUCGGAGGAAAGGGUGCGGUGGGUUGAGGACGUUGGUGGACUACUGGAUAACUAGAAGGAAGGAAGAAGGACCAGUGGCAUGGCCUCAACGGGAUGAGAAGGCGGAUUCCGGCAUGGCAUUCACGAUUGGAUUUUCUUCUCAGUACCUUCGCUUCCAUGGGUGUUUGUGCUGGCUCAUGUUGCGAUGGAUUACGCCUGGCUUACAACAGUUCGCCGCCUCCUCUACUAAGCACCUGGCAGUUGGGAUGCUCCAAACUUUCAUGC